GGUAAAAUGGCCGAAAAUAGGUUAUAAAUUGUAAAUUUAUAUAUGAGAAAAUUCUCUUUUACCA
rnacentral:tRNA from 1 species